rnacentral:rRNA from 1 species
GACGAACGCUGGCGGCGUGCUUAACACAUGCAAGUCGAACGGAAAGGCCUUUUCGGAGGUACUCGAGUGGCGAACGGGUGAGUAACACGUGGGUGAUCUGCCCUGCACUCUGGGAUAAGCCUGGGAAACUGGGUCUAAUACCGGAUAGGACCGCACUUUAGUGUGUGUGGUGGAAAGUUUUUUCGGUGUAGGAUGAGCCCGCGGCCUAUCAGCUUGUUGGUGGGGUAAUGGCCUACCAAGGCGGCGACGGGUAGCCGGACUGAGAGGUUGGUCGGCCACAUUGGGACUGAGAUACGGCCCAGACUCCUACGGGAGGCAGCAGUGGGGAAUAUUGCAAAAUGGGCGCAAGCCUGAUGCAGCGACGCCGCGUGGGGGAUGACGGCCUUCGGGUUGUAAACUCCUUUCGCCAGGGACGAAGCGUUUUGUGACGGUACCUGGAGAAGAAGCACCGGCUAACUACGUG